rnacentral:lncRNA from 1 species
CCCAGAUUGUUUUAUUUGAGCCACAGGAUGCUUUUGUACAAUUCACACAUGCUUUCCACAUUGUUCUGGAACAUCUGAGAAAGACACAUCAUUGAAACAACUUCCAUCCAUUGCAUGGGUAGAAAUUACUCUGGCUGCUAUGAAGAGAAAGAAUAUUCACUGAAAAUAUUUUGGAUGUCACUGGAUGCCCCUGUUGGAUGCUGCCCUGUGGAAGGAGCACUGUGUUUCAAAGCUGGGUGUAGUUGUAGAUGGUAAUUAAAGGCACAAAAGAGAUAAAGCUCUGAAGGACAAAUGAAUUGAAGAAGAUGCAGUGAUUAUGACAAAAGUACUGGAUGCCCAAUUCUAUGCUUCAACAAGUUCACAAUUCUACUUCUCAAGAUGAUAAUAGAGGGCAAUUUAAUUAAAAGAUAAUGGAAUAAGAAUGCUCCGGUAUCUUUAUAUGCCUUAAGAGCAUACAUUUUCCCCACAUAAAAGUCAACCCAGGAAUACUGCUUACCCCAAUUGAAGUAGUCUAUAAAUAUCACACAUUUUGGAUAAAGUAUAUUGAAACAAGAAUGGUAG